GAUGAAGAACGUAGCGAAAUGCGAUAAGUAAUGUGAAUUGCAGAAUUCAGUGAAUCAUCGAAUCUUUGAACGCACAUUGCGCCCCCCAGUAUUCUGGCGGGCAUGCCUGUUCGAGCGUCAUUUCAACCAUCAAGCCCUGCUUGUGUUGGGGUCCUGCGGCUGCCCGCAGGCCCUGAAAACCAGUGGCGGGCUCGCUAGUCACACCGAGCGCAGUAGCACAUCUCGCUCAGGGCGUGCGGCGGGCUCCAGCCGUUAAAGCACCCACCUUCCGCAAGGUUGACCUCGGAUCAGGUAGGAAUACCCGCUGAACUUAAGCAUAUCAAUAAGCGGAGGA
rnacentral:misc_RNA from 1 species